CCUACGGGAGGCUGCAGUGAGGAAUAUUGGUCAAUGGGCGCGAGCCUGAACCAGCCAAGUAGCGUGAAGGAUGACUGCCCUACGGGUUGUAAACUUCUUUUAUAAAGGAAUAAAGUGAGGCACGUGUGCCUUUUUGUAAGUACUUUAUGAAUAAGGAUCGGCUAACUCCGUGCCAGCAGCCGCGGUAAUACGGAGGAUCCGAGCGUUAUCCGGAUUUAUUGGGUUUAAAGGGAGCGUAGAUGGGUUGUUAAGUCAGUUGUGAAAGUUUGCGGCUCAACCGUAAAAAUGCAAUUGAUACUGGCAGGCUUGAGUACAGUUGAGGUAGGCGGAAUACGUUAUGUAGCGGUGAAAUGCUUAGAUAUCACGAAGAACUCCGAUUGCGAAGGCAGCUUACUAAACUGCCACUGACAUUGAUGCUCGAGAGUGUGGGUAUCAAACAGGAUUAGAUACCCGAGUAGUC
rnacentral:rRNA from 1 species